GAAAUGCGAUACGUAGUGUGAAUUGCAGAAUUCAGUGAAUCAUCGAAUCUUUGAACGCACAUUGCGCCCUUUGGUAUUCCAAAGGGCAUGCCUGUUCGAGCGUCAUUUGUACCCUCAAGCUUUGCUUGGUGUUGGGCGUUGUUUGUCUUUGGUCCGCCCAAAGACUCGCCUUAAAACAAUUGGCAGCCGGCCUACUGGUUUCGCAGCGCAGCACAUUUUUGCGCUUGCAAUCAGCAAAAGAGGUUGGUCAUCCAUCAAGACUACAUUUAUACGUUUGACCUCGGAUCAGGUAGGGAUACCCGCUGAACUUAA
rnacentral:ncRNA from 2 species